GGCAGGUGCCACGGUGUGGACAAGGCACCUGCCCGGUAAGCAGAAGGGUGUGGGUUCGAUUCCCGCCCCUGGACA